ACAUCAUUGCGCUGAUGACUGAGCUUGCCAAAGUACAGAAUGACUCUUAGCACUCUCUUCUCCCCAGAGAGGUUGCCAUUUAGCAGCAGGUCUCCUUGUGCACGUGCGCAGCCUUUUGUAAUCAGCCAAGACUCAACCUGAAAGUCACGUGACCCCCGGAGAACCAUUCUCUUGAGUGAAGGACAGUCAAAAAGCUUUCUUAGAGGAGCCAUCAGUCUUCAAUUUGUAAAUGUGGAAGCAGAGCAGGGGACGGGAAAAGAGGCAGGGAGCCCCUCUUCAGGGACAAGCCCUGCACCAGCCCAUGAGACCAGCUGCUUGCAAGGUGGCCAACACCUUACCUAAACUCAAACUCCACAAUGAGACGCUUGCAUCUUUCCAUGACUUUUUCUUACAAUUCUCUUCAGUGUCUUAUACACAAAUUGUUAAUACCACAACAAAGAUAUUGAGCUGUAUCUUACACAAGUUCCUUAUUAUAGAAGAGAUGCUCCAUGGAGGACAACACAGGAGGACACAUGCAUAUGUUUUUACACAGUCACGCUGUUUCUUUGUCAAUGCAUUUGACAGUAAUGUGGCAAGAAGCCUCAAAUUUAGCUGCAGUGCUAUGAAAUACAGCAGGCCCUUUAAAGACUUAAAAGUGCAAUAGAAGAUCAAGCAAAGAUACCCCUGUGCUUGGAGGCAGGGGAACUGGAGACACUGCCUAAGACACACUCUUCAUAUUCUGAUUGCUUUGCCUCAGGCUCACUGAAUCAUAAGUGAAUUUAUGAAGUCUAUUUGUUUUUGCCAUGCUGGAACAAGCUUUUGUAAUCAUUUCUAGAUGCAACUCUGAAAUUGUUCAGAAUUGGAAGAGUGAACUACACAUAAACAGCAUUCAUUUUCCAUUACAAGCUGUGACAGUCUAGAGAGUCAGUCUUACAACACAGGUAAUCUAAUGAAUUUUAUAAUAUGGAGUCUGUCAUUUGAGGGCCAUGUCACAGCUUGUUUUGAGCAGACUGUUAAGUUAGAACUACUGCUUUUACAGCUGGAAGAACUGUUCUGUACAGGUCUCUCCAACAGCAGAAGAACUUUGCACAGAAACAAAUUCUCAGUGCAGAACAGUGCAAUGUAGCUGUCAAUACUGACCUUUAAAAAAUAAAGAAUUUCUGUGCCUGAGAGUGCCCCGUAGA
rnacentral:lncRNA from 1 species